CAAGAGUUCACAUCGACGGCGGUGUUUGGCACCUCGAUGUCGGCUCAUCACAUCCUGGGGCUGAAGUCGGUCCCAAGGGUUGGGCUGUUCGCCCAUUAAAGCGGCACGCGAGCUGGGUUUAGAACGUCGUGAGACAGUUCGGUCCCUAUCUGGUGUGGGCGUUGGAUGAUUGAGGGGAGCUGCUCCUAGUACGAGAGGACCGGAGUGAACGAACCUCUGGUGUUCCGGUUGUCAUGCCAAUGGCAUUGCCGGGUAGCUAUGUUCGGACAGGAUAACCGCUGAAAGCAUCUAAGCGGGAAGCCCCCUUCAAGAUUAGUUCUCACU
rnacentral:rRNA from 12 species